GAUACCUAGGGAUAACUGCACCUGUACCAGUGGAGUAACGAAGUACAGUUACCCAGAAAACUCUUCUUGUUAUCUCAGCUAUGGUCAGCAAGUUGGUUGUGCCUUCAUAUGUCUGAAUAAGGGAAAAAGAGAGUUUGGUUGGCUACGUGAAGGUUCGCCGUGUAAGGUAGUAUUCUGAUGGCAAGUUUCAAACUUUUUUUAAACAUUGCGCUUCCCUGCCUGAUGCUACCGUUCGGUAAGUGUGCCUGCUUAUUAGCUAGUGCACGGUUCUGACAUAAGUGUGAAUAACAUUACAAUCACCUCCGAAAAAAAUUAGGAUGUCUGUGGGCAGCAAAUGCCUGAUGAUUGGCGUAGCUGUCAUUUUGCAUGCUGGGAAACCUGUUUGUAUUGGUACGAAUUAUGCAGUGAAAAAGCAAUCGGUACCUAAAUAUUCUCAGUGCAAAAAAUAUGCACCUCCGAAAUUUAAGCAUAAACCUUUUAUUUUAUUACCGCCUGCUGCACUUUCCUUCUCAAUGUUGGGCACGUCUGCUAGUUUAUAUCAUGAUCCCUACUUC